rnacentral:rRNA from 1 species
UACGUAGGGGGCUAGCGUUGUCCGGAAUCAUUGGGCGUAAAGAGCGUGUAGGCGGCCCGGUAAGUCCGCUGUGAAAGUCGGGGGCUCAACCCUCGAAUGCCGGUGGAUACUGUCGGGCUAGAGUGCGGAAGAGGCGAGUGGAAUUCCUGGUGUAGCGGUGGAAUGCGCAGAUAUCAGGAGGAACACCGGUGGCGAAGGCAGAUCUCUGGGCCGUAACUGACGCUGAGGAGCGAAAGCAUGGGGAGCGAACAGG